CAGCUCCACAGAUUUCCACCUCCACAAAGGGACACGCAAUACUUCGUCCAAGCUUGGGGAGAUGGCGAGCCCCAAGAACCUAGGACAGCAAAGUGACCAUCUCGGCAAGAGUCUGAGCAUGAAGCCCUGAAAGAAGGAUGGGCCAGGAGAAGAGCUCCCUGAAGACAGCCACCAAACACCUGGAUCCAGCUGUGCCUGAAGCUCAGUGCCAACUCCUGGACUUCUUCAUUACAUGAGCUCAGGAUACAUCCGUGGGGAGAGCGCUCAAUAAUGAAGCGUGUUGCUGACGGGGACCCCGCGGCGAGCAGGUGCCAGCAGGUUCAACGGUUCAUUUUCCAGUCUGUAAAAACAAGCCUUGUGAAUUCUAGAACAGGUUUUGAAGCACUUCCAUGAAUCUGGUCUCAAAAAACAGCCUCGACCCCUAUUCUGACAUUAUUAUG